rnacentral:rRNA from 1 species
GACGAACGCUUGCGGCGUGCUUAACACAUGCAAGUCGAACGGUAAGGCUCCAGCUUGCUGGGGUACGCGAGUGGCGAACGGGUGAGUAACACGUGGGUGACCUGCCCUGCACUUCGGGAUAAGCCUGGGAAACUGGGUCUAAUACCGGAUAGGACCGCACCGUGAGGGUGUGGUGGAAAGUUUUUUCGGUGUGGGAUGGGCCCGCGGCCUAUCAGCUUGUUGGUGGGGUAAUGGCCUACCAAGGCGGCGACGGGUAGCCGGCCUGAGAGGGUGGACGGCCACAUUGGGACUGAGACACGGCCCAGACUCCUACGGGAGGCAGCAGUGGGGAAUAUUGCACAAUGGGCGGAAGCCUGAUGCAGCGACGCCGCGUGGGGGAUGACGGCCUUCGGGUUGUAAACUCCUUUCACCAUCGACGAAGGGUUUCUGACGGUAGAUGGAGAAGAAGCACCGGCUAACUACGUGCCAGCAGCCGCGGUAAUACGUAGGGUGCGAGCGUUGUCCGGAAUUACUGGGCGUAAAGAGCUCGUAGGUGGUUUGUCGCGUCGUCUGUGAAAUUCCGGGGCUUAACUCCGGGCGUGCAGGCGAUACGGGCAUAACUUGAGUACUGUAGGGGAGACUGGAAUUCCUGGUGUAGCGGUGAAAUGCGCAGAUAUCAGGAGGAACACCGGUGGCGAAGGCGGGUCUCUGGGCAGUAACUGACGCUGAGGAGCGAAAGCAUGGGGAGCGAACAGGAUUAGAUACCCUGGUAGUCCAUGCCGUAAACGGUGGGCGCUAGGUGUGGGUUUCCUUCCACGGGAUCCGUGCCGUAGCUAACGCAUUAAGCGCCCCGCCUGGGGAGUGCGGCCGCAAGGCUAAAACUCAAAGGAAUUGACGGGGGCCCGCACAAGCGGCGGAGCAUGUGGAUUAAUUCGAUGCAACGCGAAGAACCUUACCUGGGCUUGACAUAUACAGGAUCGCGCCAGAGAUGGUGUUUCCCUUGUGGCUUGUAUACAGGUGGUGCAUGGUUGUCGUCAGCUCGUGUCGUGAGAUGUUGGGUUAAGUCCCGCAACGAGCGCAACCCUUGUCUUAUGUUGCCAGCACGUUGUGGUGGGGACUCGUAAGAAACUGCCGGGGUUAACUCGGAGGAAGGUGGGGAUGACGUCAAAUCAUCAUGCCCCUUAUGUCCAGGGCUUCACACAUGCUACAAUGGUCGGUACAGUGGGUUGCCAGUCCGUGAGGGCGAGCUAAUCCCGCAAAGCUGGUCUCAGUUCGGAUCGGGGUCUGCAACUCGACCCCGUGAAGUCGGAGUCGCUAGUAAUCGCAGAUCAGCAACGCUGCGGUGAAUACGUUCCCGGGCCU